CUUAAGGGAAAUGCACAAACUCCAGAUGGCACACAAGAACUUUGUACUCAAGAAAGUGUGGUGAAUUCAAAUUCUCUUCCAAAUGCUUUGAAUAUGUAUGUCGCUAGCUUCACUUUAUAAAAUAUUGGCACUGAUUCUUCAUCACAGCAAAAUACACCAUCAACUCAUCUGACAAUGACUAAUAGAGCACAGUAGCCUUGUUACCGAGAUCCAAUGUUGUUUUGGAUUUCUAGUUUGUUAGAUUUUAUGCAGAAAUAUGUGUUUUGUACUGUAGUUAUUUGGAUUUCAAAACUGUGUUGAAUUUUAUUGUGCCUUGGAUGAAAGUAACUAUGUGUAUUGAAUUCUAUCA